GACGAACGCUGGCGGCGUGCCUAACACAUGCAAGUCGAACGGAAAGGCCCUGCUUUUGUGGGGUGCCCGAGGGGCGAACGGGUGAGUAACACGUGAGUAACCUGCCCUUGUUUUUGGGAUAACUUAAGGAAACUGGGGCUAAUCCAGGAUAGGAGCCCAUGCUGCAUGGUGGGGGUUGGAACGUUUCGGCGGUUGGGGAUGGACUCGCGGCUUAUCAGCUUGUUGGUGGGGUAGUGGCAUACCAAGGCAUUGACGGGUAGCCGGCAUGAGAGGGUGGCCGGCCACAUGAGUACUAAGGGACGGCCCAGUGUGCUACGGUAGGCAGCAGUGGGAAGUAUUACACAGUGAGCGGGAGCGUGUGGCGACGACGCCGCGGUUGGAAUGACGGCCUUCUGGUAAAGAAACGCUGUCGCCUAUGACGCAGCUGGUGUGACGGUAAUGAAUGAAGAAGCACCGGCUAACUACGUG
rnacentral:rRNA from 1 species